CACACUGCAGGUAUUUAGAUCCAAACGCAGACAACAGCGCAGCGCGCGGACAGGAUUUUCUCUCCGUCCGCGAGGUUAGGAGGAGGAGCGCGCGUUCUUACCGAGUGCAGCGAACAGGGAGCUCUCACUCCCACAAACUUUGUCGCUGCUUCUUGCGUUUUUCUAAAACUUACAAAUAUAUCCCACAUUUGGAUCUGAUCGAUGCUUGGAGCUCGUGGUGUUGUUCCCGUUCUUCCUGCAGAGCCUCAGAUCCGGUUUCAGGCGCACCGGGAGUGAGAGAGGAUCCAACCCGGGAGUGGAAAUUACACGCAGAAAUGGAUUUAAUGUUGGAGUGAAAGUGCACAGUGUCUAAUGAUGGACUGCGUCUCCUGCAGGGAGGAAACACUUCCAAACGUCUGAGAGAGAUGGACUUGAACUUGGUCGUAAAUCUGACUUUGUGCAACCAAAUCUCAGCAACGACUAGGAGGCCGUGAGGUCGAGGAUGUGUUCGAAGCCUCAGACUCUGCAGAGGUGUGAAGAUGGAGCCCUGACCUCAGGUGGUUACUCCA